CCAUGUUUAUUAAUUUUGUUUGACACCCUUUUUAUUUGUGUAGUGAACGCUGGUCUGUGAAGCAGGAUUAGUUUCAUCGGGAAAUAGGGAAUUAAUAAACAGAUACAUUAACAAAGUUGAAAGUUGAUAUAAGAGGUGAACAAUACAUUAAAUACUGGUUGUUCUAAGCCCUCACUCGACCAGGACUUCUCUCAGCACUUUAAAGUCUUAAAAUUUCUCGACUAAUAAACAGAUAAUUGGAUCAGCUUCAGUUGUGAAGGAUUACUGCAUAGUAUUUGGAAGGGACCAUUUACAGUACCUAUACUAAAGCCCUUCAGCCCAAGGUGAGCUGAGCUGAUUAUCGUGUACCCAAACAUUUCUACACAUUCUCCGAGUCAGGUAAUGUGCUUAUGGGGCCGUAAUUGUAAAAGGUUUUAAGUAGUU